AUUGAACGCUGGCGGCAUGCCUUACACAUGCAAGUCGAACGGCAGCACGGGUGCUUGCCCCUGGUGGCGAGUGGCGAACGGGUGAGUAAUACAUCGGAACAUGUCCUGUAGUGGGGGAUAGCCCGGCGAAAGCCGGAUUAAUACCGCAUACGAUCUACGGAUGAAAGCGGGGGACCUUCGGGCCUCGCGCUAUAGGGUUGGCCGAUGGCUGAUUAGCUGGUUGGUGGGGUAAAGGCCUACCAAGGCGACGAUCAGUAGCUGGUCUGAGAGGACGACCAGCCACACUGGGACUGAGACACGGCCCAGACUCCUACGGGAGGCAGCAGUGGGGAAUUUUGGACAAUGGGCGAAAGCCUGAUCCAGCAAUGCCGCGUGUGUGAAGAAGGCCUUCGGGUUGUAAAGCACUUUUGUCCGGAAAGAAAUCCUUGGCCCUAAUACGGUCGGGGGAUGACGGUACCGGAAGAAUAAGCACCGGCUAACUACGUG
rnacentral:rRNA from 1 species